CGGCGGACGGGUGAGUAAUGUCUGGGAAACUGCCCGAUGGAGGGGGAUAACUACUGGAAACGGUAGCUAAUACCGCAUAACGUCGCAAGACCAAAGAGGGGGACCUCCGGGCCUCGCGCCAUCAGAUGAACCCAUAUGGGAUUAGCUUGUAGGUAAGGUAACGGCUUACCUAGGCGACGAUCCCUAGCUGGUCUGAGAGGAUGAUCAGCCACACUGGGACUGAGACACGGUCCAG
rnacentral:rRNA from 1 species